rnacentral:rRNA from 1 species
GACGAACGCUGGCGGCGUGCUUAACACAUGCAAGUCGAACGGUAAGGCCCUUCGGGGUACACGAGUGGCGAACGGGUGAGUAACACGUGGGUGAUCUGCCCUGCACUUCGGGAUAAGCCUGGGAAACUGGGUCUAAUACCGGAUAGGACUCCUGCCUGCAUGGGUGGGGGUGGAAAGCUUUUGCGGUGUGGGAUGGGCCCGCGGCCUAUCAGCUUGUUGGUGGGGUGAUGGCCUACCAAGGCGACGACGGGUAGCCGGCCUGAGAGGGUGACCGGCCACACUGGGACUGAGAUACGGCCCAGACUCCUACGGGAGGCAGCAGUGGGGAAUAUUGCACAAUGGGCGCAAGCCUGAUGCAGCGACGCCGCGUGAGGGAUGACGGCCUUCGGGUUGUAAACCUCUUUCAGCACAGACGAAGCGCAAGUGACGGUAUGUGUAGAAGAAGGACCGGCCAACUACGUGCCAGCAGCCGCCGCAGUAA